UAAGGGAAGCCAAGGGAGCGAGCUCCGG
rnacentral:sRNA from 1 species